rnacentral:rRNA from 1 species
AUUGAACGCUGGCGGCAGGCCUAACACAUGCAAGUCGAAAGAGUGGCGGACGGGUGAGUAAUGUAUGGGAAACUGCCCGAUGGAGGGGGAUAAAUACUGGAAACGGUAGCUAAUACCGCCUACCAUCGGAUGUGCCCAGAUGGGAUUAGCUAGUAGGUGGGGUAAUGGCUCACCUAGGCGACGAUCCCUAGCUGGUCUGAGAGGAUGACCAGCCACACGGGAAUGAGUACACGGUCCAGACUCCUACGGUAGGCAGCAGUGGGGAAUAUUGCACAAUGGGCGCAAGCCUGAUGCAGCCAUGCCGCGUGUAUGAAGAAGGCCUUCGGGUUGUAAAGUACUUUCAGCGAGGAGGCGUUACUCGCAGAAGAAGCACCGGCUAACUCCGUGCCAGCAGCCGCGGUAAUUC